GAAAUUGCUCCCAGCUGUUGAGUUUGAGAGCCUCCUGUUUGGAUGGAGAGAAAAAAAAAUCCCAUGCUAACACUAAGAACUGCAUGUAAAGAGCAUUCCUGUAACAGUAGAUGGGGUAAUUCUAGUGGCACAACCUUUGAGAAGAGUCGUUACUGGAACAGUUCUAUGAGUGGAUGCCAGAGCUGCCUGCUAUUUUAAAAUACAGAUAAACAAACAAGCAACUGGUAAGAAAAGCCUGAUGAUGACUUCACCUCUUUUAAACAAAUUGGAAGACAGAUGGCUCUGGGUCCUGGAACAUGUGUUAAAAAUAAAGGAAUGGGAGUUUGUAGGCAAAAAUAAGUUCCUGCUAUUUCAAAGGAAAAGCUAAGCACUCUUGGUUGAAUUCUGGAAUAGGGAACAACUUUUGAUGAACAGAAAAGAACACGUGGGUCAGCAACACAGAAAAACCUUGGUGAUAAAAGGGACUCCUCACAAAUGACCAGAGUUAUGGAUGUGAGGGUGUGAAAAGAUCGCGUAGUUCUACACAACAUUCAAAUGUUCUCCCAUCAUCAGUGGGGCAACCCUACUUUUCAAAGAUCACGUCUCAGGAGGUGAAAUGGAGAACUUGCACCCUAAAACAGGGAUGUUUAUGGAAGCAUGAAGGAGGAGCUAGAGCCAAAAUAUUUCUACUGUUUGGACCCCAUCAUGCAGGCUGACAAGAAUACCCCCAUUAGCUGUAUCUGUGGUGUCCUGCAAUGGAAAUCAAGUAGCAGGCCCGUAUUCGGCAUUAUCAUCACUGAGCUCAGACUGAUGGCUCACUUGGUCUGUCAUCAGAAUUCUGCGCCCAAGGAUCUGUUCAGGCAAAAAAAAAAAAAAGCCACCUACAUAUGUACCAUUGUGAUUUUUUUUUUCCUCUCACCACCUGCAUUAUGCUCUGCUACCACAAAGUGCUGCUGCAAGUUGCAAGCCCCAAAUUCUGCCUUCAUGUACAGCUGUGCAAGGAUAGAUGGUCCAAGAUGCUUGGGAUGACAACAUCCUCACCUCUCCUGUUCAGAUUUAAAGAUGUCAUCUUCUGCAGAAGAACAAGACACAGCAGAUGGAUCAACCAGCUGUGAAAUCGGACAGGAUCAAGAGCUGCAAACCUGAAAGUGUGAUAUCCUGUAAAGUGCCACUGAAGCCUACAUACACCAGAUGGUCUGCGAGCUGUAGAGAAAUGGCUUUCUAAAUAAAGUUUCCACCAUGUAACUGGUGAUAUGUUGCUAUCA